GGUUCCCUCCGAAGUUUCCCUCAGGAUAGCUGGAGCCCAUUACGAGUUCUAUCAGGUAAAGCCAAUGAUUAGAGGCAUUGGGGACGCAACGUCCUCGACCUAUUCUCAAACUUUAAAUAGCAAGGAUGGCUCGGCUGCUUCGGUGAGCCGUGCCACGGAAUCGGGUGCUCCAAGUGGGCCAUUUUUGGUAAGCAGAACUGGCGAUGCGGGAUGAACCGGAAGCCGGGUUACGGUGCCCAACUGCGCGCUAACCUAGAACCCAC
rnacentral:ncRNA from 1 species